rnacentral:rRNA from 1 species
CCUGAACUUAAAGCAUAAAAAAAAGCGGAGGAA